rfam:Bacillus sp. FJAT-27231 Scaffold1, whole genome shotgun sequence.
CAAUUAAACGUAACAUUCGCUCAUAUAAUCGCAGGAAUAUGGCCUGCAAGUUUCUACCGGAUGACCGUAAAUCAUUUGACUAUGAGUGAGCAGUGGAAGGGC